CAUCGUAUUUAGAAAUAAAACUAUUUCUAAAAUUUCUAUAAUUUAAAUUAAUGCAUAAUUUGAGAAACACUAAAACAUUUAAAAUAGAUUCCUAAAUUAAUGCCUAAUAAUUGCAUAAAUUUGGUUAAUCAAUUAAUUUCCUAAAUUAGUGCUAAUUAAUGCAUAAAUUUAAGACCUCAAUUAAAAGUUUCUUUAAAUAUUGUAUUAUUUAAUUACCAAACUAACCUUGAAUAAAUAAUCCUUUUACCUGCUAAGUAUUAAAGUUACAUUUUUACCCUCUAUUAAUCAAUGGUUAAGAUCUUUUUUAUUUUUAUUUUUUUAAAGUACCAAAUCAUUUCUCAAAAAAUAAAUUCUUACCAAAUCCCCCAAAU
rnacentral:lncRNA from 1 species